AAAGGAAUAGACGGGGGCCCGCACAAGCGGUGGAGCAUGUGGUUUAAUUCGAUGCAACGCGAAGAACCUUACCAGGUCUUGACAUCCUACGGAUUUCUAUGAAAGUAGAAAGUGCCUUCGGGAGCGUAGAGACAGGUGGUGCAUGGUUGUCGUCAGCUCGUGUCGUGAGAUGUUGGGUUAAGUCCCGCAACGAGCGCAACCCCUGCUAUUAGUUGCUAACAUUAAUGAUGAGCACUCUAAUGGGACUGCCUGUGACAAGCAGGAGGAAGGUGGGGAUGACGUCAAAUCAUCAUGCCCUUUAUGAUCUGGGCUACACACGUGCUACAAUGGAUGGUACAGAGGGCAGCGAAGCCGUGAGGUGAAGCGAAUCUCAAAAAGCCAUUCUCAGUUCGGAUUGCAGUCUGCAACUCGACUGCAUGAAGUCGGAAUCGCUAGUAAUCGCGAAUCAGCACGUCGCGGUGAAUGCGUUCCCGGGCCUUGUACACACCGCCCGU
rnacentral:rRNA from 1 species